AAAUAACUUCAACCGCAAAAGACUAAAGCGGAUACUGAUUACAAUUCAUUUACAUGCAACUGUGCGCGGUGAUUGAGUGAUUAAAAUGAAUCGAAUACUUGAAAGUAUACAACAAUUCGAAGCGAAAAAAGAAAAGAACUUUAAUGAAACGAGGAAUGCAUUACUGCAACUAAACGUUAACGAACUAAUGCAGAUAUGGACCAAGAUACCCAUUAUAUAUCAAAAUGAUAGCGAAAUAUGUAAUCGAAUUCGUUGUACUAAACACUGGAAUCAACCGUGGCAACGUAUCCAUAUUGAUGGACCAGCUCCGCUUAUGAUAUAUUGCAAAUAUUGCAUUCAAGGUGAAUAAACGAACUAUUUGCUACCUUUUUUAAUCUUCCUCAAAGUAAGCGCAUUUGGUCUAGUAGAAAAUAAAUAAACAAACUCUUU